UGGGUAACCUGCCUCAAAGAGGGGAAUAGCCUCCCGAAAGGGAGAUUAAUACCGCAUAAUAUGUUUAGGUCGCAUGACUUUAACAUCAAAGGAUUUUCUUUUAGAAAUUCCACUUUGAGAUGGACCCGCGGCGCAUUAGCUAGUUGGUGAGGUAACGGCUCACCAAGGCAACGAUGCGUAGCCGACCUGAGAGGGUNAUCGGCCACAUUGGAACUGAGACACGGUCCAGCUCCGUAGGAG
rnacentral:rRNA from 1 species